AUGAAAUGGGCAGAGCCAGGAGAACGCUGUAGGCCUGGCAGCGAAUGGCUGAAGAUCGUGAGCGUUCAGGCCAACCCCGACAGCCCUAGGAAGAAGCUGCCCACCUGGAGGGAGAGACCUGAUCGGGGCCGGCCGGAUGGCGGGAUGGCUGGUGGGAUGGCGGGAUGGCUGGCUGGAUGGCGGGAUGGCCGGCCGGAUGGCGGGAUGGCUGGUGGGAUGGCAGGAUGGCCGGCCGGAUGGCGGGAUGGCCGGGAUGGCCGGCCGGAUGGCGGGAUGGCUGGUGGGAUGGCAGGAUGGCUGGUGGGAUGGCAGGAUGGCGGGUUGGCUGGUGGGAUGGCUGGUGGGAUGGCGGGAUGGCCGGCCGGAUGGCGGGCUCCACACGUGGUGGCAUCAGACAGCGGCCCUCUCUGGGGACAGAACCCAGAAGUGACUCGCCCCUGUUUCACAAGAGCCUCCGCUGGGUGCUCGGGGCUCCUCUUGCCGCCUGGCCUCGGGGACUCAGACGCUCGGGUUUGCUUCUGUUCUCCAGGAAGCGCCAUUUGGCUGUCCUGGCCUCAAGGGCCCUUCACUGGGCUCCGGUGUGAACCGCCCCCUCCCCAGGCCGGCAGCCGUCCUGUGGGGGGGUCAUGGCAGAAACCGACCGAUGGCACGGUGGCUGCCCUCUCCAUGGGGGUCCUCAGGCGCCAUCUUGCUUGUGGGCAUCGCCAUCGAGGCAGGCUUCACUGCGCAGGGCCCUCCCACCGGGUCCUCCUCCUUUGGCGCCACUCAUUUUCCUUCCCGUUUUCUUCCGGUUCCCUCAGCCAUCCUUCGGAGCCCCAAAGCAGCCCCUGGGGAAGGGGCGGGGGGACCCCUGACAAUAAUCUGGCGUCUCAAAUGCCAGAGAAGGAGACAAAGAAAGGGGCGGGAGACAGUACAGUGGCUCCAGCACCGGGCCUGAGUUCAAAUCCCGUCUGAGCCUGGACAAGGGGCUUUUCAUCUGGGAAAUGAAGGAAGUGGCCAAAGGCUCCAGGAUCUUUGCCAGGAGACUCAAGUGACUGGGCGGAGCCAGCGAGAGGGAGUCGGCCGCCCCCAGCCAGAGGCAGGCGGGCCGGAGCUGCCCACCACCAGCUCCAUAAGCUGCCUCCCGAGGUCCGAAACACGGGCGGCCGUCGGGCCCGCCUGCCCUUCCUCGCCCGCUUUCCUCUCCCUCCCUCGUGGCCUCCUCCUGAUGGCCACGACGGGCAGGCUCUCCUGUGGCCCCCUCGGGGGCCGCUGCUCCGCCUUCCCUCCGUCCGUCUGUCCAGGGGGAUUAGAGCUCCCCCGGCUCGGCCCCGGGUUCGAGGCGGAGAUUCUGGCCUCCACCGGCAGGAGCCCCCUCGGGCGCCCGUGGGAAGGUGGGGCGGCCGCUCCAAGGAGCCUCCGGGCACCUCCCCAGCCGACCCUGCUCCCUCUGGGCCUCCCCCCUUCCCAGGAAGCCCUCCCGUGCCCGGUGCCAGGGCCCGCCUCUGCCACGGCCCCGCAGAUCCCGGGGAAGGAGGCAGGGCCGAGUGUCGGCACGUCCCCAGUGCCCAGCCACAGCGGCCUGGGCGGCACGUCGAGCGGACAAGCCGCGCUUGCCAAGGGGCGGGGGCCGCCCUUCGUCCCUUGUGGCUUCGCAUCCACAGCGCGCGGUGCCAGGCAGAGGAGCCAUCGGGGCUGGGCCACGGCCACCCGGCUAGGAAGGGUCUGCGGCCGGACUGGAACCCAGGACCGCGUCUCUGGUUCUGCGCCGCCCGGCCGGCCCGCCACUCACUUCUGAUUGCUGGGUGCCCGGGAGCCCGGGGGGGCCAGGCCAGAGGGCACAGGAGCCCCCCCGCUGCAGGCCAGGCGGGGGGGGCCUCAGCAGCCCUGACCCGGGGCCCCGGGGGCCCCGAAAGGGAGGCGGGGAGGCCAGCCAAGGCGCUCAGGGCUGCUCCGGGACGGCAACCAUCCGGCC
rnacentral:lncRNA from 1 species